AGGUGACAGUGUAGAGAAUAGCAUGUGGAAGGCCGGGCAGGGAUGGUACCCAGAGCACAGGGGAGAAGGCAAUUUUUUUCUGAGAUAUGAAAAUAUGAGAGACAGCGUAUAUACAGUGCUGUUGUAA
rnacentral:lncRNA from 1 species